UCAAAAGCAGGUGUGGAUACAGCUUUUUCAGCUGCUUACUGCCUGUUGUAACUCCUGCUUCAUGUGCACACAGCUCUUUACAAUCCCUAAAAAAAGAACGGUUGUGAGAAUAAGGGGAUGAGAAGACAUUUAUACACAUUUGAGCUACUUGGAGGAAACGCAGGAUGUAAGUUUCACCUCAUUUAUCGUUAUGUCAAGUCAAGACUUCUUUUCUUCGCUCAUUAUUUCACAAGAGUCGAGUCUUUGCAAUAUGAAAGUGCUGCAGGAGUGCACGCCGGGCUGAGGAAGAAGGAUCUCAUUCCAAGAUAAGGCCAUUGUCUUCACCGAGCAAAUAAAGUUUAAUGGGAUACAAUGGGAAAGAGAAAAACAAAGAAAGCGUUUGCCUGGAGUUCAGACUUCAAGCUGACUUUGCGUGGGAGGAUUUUCUAGAAGCUAGAUUUUCCUCUGUUUAUUUAUUAAACUUUG